rfam:Otolemur garnettii contig132729, whole genome shotgun sequence.
UAGGGGAGUCAGGGCUCAGGCCCCCCUCCUGAGCCCCGGAUAACUCUAUCAGUGGGGGGGCA